GAUGAACGCUGGCGGCGUGCCUAAUACAUGCAAGUCGAGCGGCAGCGCGAGUAGUUUACUACUUGGCGGCGAGCGGCGGACGGCUGAGUAACGCGUGGGAAUCUGCCCCAAAGUGAGGGAUAAGCACCAGAAAUGGUGUCUAAUACCGCAUAUGAUCUUCGGAUUAAAGCUUUCGAGCGCUUUGGGAGGAGCCCGCGUCGGAUUAGAUUGUUGGUGAGGUAAUGGCUCACCAAGUCGACGAUCCGUAGCUGGUCUGAGAGGAUGAUCAGCCAGACUGGAACUGAGACACGGUCCAGACUCCUACGGGAGGCAGCAGUAGGGAAUAUUGGACAAUGGGCGAAAGCCUGAUCCAGCCAUGCCGCGUGAGUGAUGAAGGCCCUAGGGUUGUAAAGCUCUUUCAACGGUGAAGAUAAUGACGGUAACCGUAGAAGAAGCCCCGGCUAACUUCGUGCCAGCCGCCGCAGUAACAC
rnacentral:rRNA from 1 species